AAAUAGACAAAUUAAAAGUGGUACACGACUCUUAAAUUUUUAUUUUUGGACCCCACCGUAUCCCUUAUUAUUUGAACAAAAUUUAUGGGACAAAAUACGGCUCUUCUAACAUGUGAUGGAUCAGCAGAAAUGGUGCGUCGCUCUUCUAAUUCAAACCACCUGUAAUAUGCUACACACUGUUUGCGUGAUUGUGAGCAGAAGCAGCAUGCACCACAAUUAGAGAAUAAUAGCCAAGGACUACUUAAAUAAUUAGCCUCAACGUGGCCAUCCACCUAUUCCUUCUUUCUGCAAUGCUUUUCCACAUUCUCAAACAUCUCCGCAUAGCUUGUGUUAGGCACAACAAUCGAAUCAGCCAGCUUGUUCACCAUCUUCGCCACGGCUUCCCAUCGCCCACCAGUUCUCCACAUUCGUUGCGCGCAGUAUCUCCACAUCCUUGGAGGAAUCAACAAGGUGUCCAGGAACGAGACAUAAUCCGUCACGAAAUUGCCCUAUCGGCCCAAAGUAGUGCUCGUACGCGAUGAGAUUCCGGAGGAACGACUCGGUCUGUCUCGACCUCAGAGGCGCCAUGGUCAUACCCUUUUCGAAUCACGUCGAACAACGCAGCUUCUGGCUGGAUUCUUGAACCUGACAUUAGCCUCUUCAAGCCUGGCGCUUUUGAUGAUGCAACCCCUAUCCUUCCUUUUCUCCGCCCGUGCUGCGGGGAAGCCAAUUACGAUGGAUGAAGUGAAGCAAAUGCUUCACCUCACGAGGAGCUACGCUCCUUUCUAUGUAGCCUUCCCAGGAUACAGACUGAAGAAUGCAGAGAAGGUCCGCAACCUACUAUGCUGGCCGGGGCCUCAAUCAGGUCGAACAGCUCGCACAAGACAAAGAAUGGGAGCUGAUUCUCGAAGAGCAUUAAAUCACGCUCAGGUAAUACUCAUCCAGUCAUUGGAAGAUGGGAUCAUUCUCUCCUCUGGGACACCAGGUACUUGUAUAACUCAACGAUGAAGCAUCCAUCUAGUACAAGCAUUUGUAUGAAGUCGCUUGGGCUCAUGCUUGUAGGCUCAUCUGCGUAACAUUUUCUUGCUUCGGCUUCCAAUCUGCCCACACAUGCUGCGUAGCUUUCCACAUUGUUGGAAGGUUUCCUUCUGAUGAGGUGCUGGAAGUAACGUAGCUUGUGAUCUUCCAUCAUUUUUAGAUGAUCCUUGUUGGUGAUAAGGACCAAUAGCGAUCAAAUCGGGCUCGUAAGCAUUGGGGUUCACGUUCCGUAAACGUUUAUGAACUCUGUAGAUUGUGCAUUCUGAUUCUGCCCCCGCGCUCAGUUUCGUCAGUUUUUUAUUCAAGCUAGUGCAGGCUUGCUUUGUGCUGUAAAGAUAGAAUCACAGCCAAAAUAUAUGAUUUUGAUGUGUUUCACAUAAAUAUGAUCAAACAAUUUUGAUGAAAAAAAAAAAAAAACUACAAAAACUGAUUUGGCAGGAGUAUAUGUCCAUUUACAGACUAGAAGAAAACUUAUGCAUACCACAUGUUGUGGACGAACAAAUUACGAGAGAAAUAGCAAGUCUCUAUCUCAACUGAUAGAUAUUCAGUAUUCACUAAAACUAGGGUCACAACGUAUAUUGAAGUUGCACACGAGAUAUAUUGUAUACUACGUACAUUGGAAUUGCACACGAGGUGUAUAAGAGUUACAUUUCGUCUCAAGUGUUUUAAUUUUUAAAAACAAAUUUAACAAAAUAAGAAAAUAAAAUAUUUUCAUACACUACAAAAAAACAUGCGUAUAACAAUCGAAAUUAACGACCGAAAAUUUCAGUUGUUAAUUUUUGCGGCCUUAACGACCGUUUGACGACCUAUUUUAUUUUAUUUUUUAACAUUUUUUUAGCGACCGAAAAUUCGGUCGGUAUUUUUUUUUUCAUUAUUUUAAUUUUUUUUAACAAUCGAAUUUUCGGUCGUUAAAUUUUUCUUUAGAUUUUUUUUUAUUUUGAACGACCGAAAUUUCGGUCGUUAAUAUUUUUUUAUUUUUUAUUUAUUUUUUUAAUAAUUUUUUUAAAGUACCGAAAAUUAAGUCGUUAAUAUUAUUUUUUUUAUUUUUUAUUUUUAAAUAUAUAUAUAUAUAGUUAUUAUUUUUUUUGUUAAUUAUAUUCAUUAUUUUCAGAACAUUAAUAAUUUUAUUAUUUUAAAAUAAUAAACUAUUUGAUUGAAUUUAUUUGAUUAAUUUUCAAAUAUUUUAUUAUUUUAAAAUAAUAAAUUAUUUGAUGAUAUUGUAUAUUGAAUUAUUUUAAAUCUAAUAAUAAUAAAUUUAAUAUUUUAAUUAAUCUAAAUAAAUCUAAUAAUUUAUUACAAUAAUAUUGUAUAUUACGAUUAUUAUUUGAUUGUAAAUUAUUUGAUUUACUAAAUGAAUGAUAGACACGAAUUUCUUAAACAAAAAUAUAGUAGUUAACACUUAGAAAUAUACUAAUUAAUAAAAUUAAAAAAUCUAGUAGUCAACGCUUAAAACCUCCAAUCUUUCUUGCUCAUUGAAAUUGAAUUUUCGAGAAAAUCCUAGAAGAAUUAAAGAAUUAAACUUUUUGAUGGAAGUGGUAAUUACGGAGUGAAUGAAUACUGUAAAAUACAAUUUCUCUUUUUUACCCUUUCUCAUAAUUAGGUCACUAAUCAUCAAUCCCCGUGAAAGCAAAAGAAUUAAUCUCUUGGCCAUCAAUUUUGAUCCUAUCAACGCUGUAAAAUACUCCCUCUGUCCACGAAAAAGUGCCAUACUUACCAUUUUUUUUUCCACGAAAAAGUGCCCUGUUUACCUUUUUGUACAUUCAUACCCUUUACUUUUCAAUUUAUUUACAAUUUAUGUCAUUAAUAAAUCCACACUUUUAUUUAAUCUAUGCAAUUAACCCUCACAAUUUACUCACUAAUAAAUCCACACUUUUAUUUAAUCUAUGCAAUUAACCCACACAAUUAACUCGUUAAUUAAAACUACGAAACCAACUCCCCCACGCCUAAUCAAUCCCAUUUCCCCCAAAAUUAAAUUACUCUUUCUCUAAACUCAAACAAGUGGAAGAAAUACACACAAACCCUCCAAAUUGUAUCUACAGCCCGAUUUAAUGGCUUUUGGGCUAUGUGUGUUUGUUGAUUAGCUCAAUGGAAUAAUAAAUAUGUUCUGAAAAUUAACUCGACUUCACGUGUGAAUUCCGCACUACAAGAAAUUGAGUUUUUACCCACACAUAAUUACCCACACAUAAUAAUGUGUGGUAGUUUAGCCACACAUAGUUUCAAAAUGUGUAGGUAAUUCACACAAAAAAAAUUCAUUAGUUAUUGACUUUUAAAAUGUGUGGCAAAAAUAUUUUCGUGAUAUUUAUUAUUUUACGGUUAUUUUUAAGUUUUAUUUAUGGAUAAUAAAAUUUAUUUUUAAAUUUGUUGCGCCAACGUGGCAAACUAAUAAAAGUUAUUAACCACACAUAAUUCAAAAUUAUCUAUGUGUGGGUAAUGAAUUUUUAUCAUUAUUUAUUCUUGACAUGUAAGAAACGUGGGAAAAUAUUUUUAGCUACAUUUAUAUUUUGGCUUUAAUUAAUUAUUUAUGCAAAUCUUAAUUGAUGUUUUACCCACACAUAAUUAUCCACACAUAUUUUGAAAAAUGUGUAGGUGAAACAAUUUGAAACUUUCAAUUAUUAUUGACAUUUAAAAUGUGUAGCAGAAAUUUUUUUUGUAACAUUUAUUAUAUGGCGGUAAUUCUUUUUUAAGUUUUAUUUUAUUUAAUGAAGUUUAUUUUUAUAUUUGGUGUGCACCCUCUAUUAAUUUUUUUAAACCACACAUAAUAUAUGUGUGGAUAAUAAUUUUUAUAUUUAUAUUUUGACAAAUUAAAGUAAAUUUAAUUUUAUUUUUAUAUAUUAGUGCCAACUAAUCAAUUGAUUUCUCUACAAUUGUACAAUAAAAUAAAAAUUAAAUAGUCUUUAACAAUAUUAAAAUAGGCAUAAAAAAAACAAGAAUGAAUAUGUUAAAAAAAACACAACAAUUAAAAUAGGCAUAAAAAUUAAAUACUAGUCUUUAACAUUAAAAUCGAACUCAAUAAAGAGUAGGAUUGUUUAAACUCUCAACAACUAAAAGACAAGAAAAUAUUAACAAACUAAUCAAUGUCAUUAGAACUACCCCUAUUGUAAUUUUUACCCCACUCAAAACAACUUUUUCAGCUUUCUUAGUAUCCGUGCCGGCACCCAAAUGGGGCACUUUUUCGUGGACGGAGUGAGUAGUUAUUAAUUUUAAUCUUAAGGGGAUGAGAUUAAUGGAGACCACUAAAUAUUCAAAGAAUAUAAACCAAAUCUCAGUCAUUGAUCUUAUAUAAUUUAACGGUCACCAUUUAUUCACGCCAUGUUCAACGAAUUUUUUUGUUGAAUAUAUACAGGGUCGAAUCCUAUAAUCCCCCAAAAAAUCAACAUUUAUUCACGCCAUGUCCAACGGAUUUGAUGAACGUUCAUCAAAUCCGUUGGACAUAUCAAUAAUUCCGUUGAAUGUUCAUCAAAUUCGUUGAACAUGGCUUGAAUAAAUNNNNNNNNNNNNNNNNNNNNNNNNNNNNNNNNNNNNNNNNNNNNNNNNNNNNNNNNNNNNNNNNNNNNNNNNNNNNNNNNNNNNNNNNNNNNNNNNNNNNNNNNNNNNNNNNNNNNNNNNNNNNNNNNNNNNNNNNNNNNNNNNNNNNNNNNNNNNNNNNNNNNNNNNNNNNNNNNNNNNNNNNNNNNNNNNNNNNNNNNNNNNNNNNNNNNNNNNNNNNNNNNNNNGUUCAGUAAAAUUGUUGGCGUAUUCAGUAAAAUUAUUGACUUAUUCAGCUUCUCUGCUUCUCUCGGAUAUUUAGCUUCUCUAUUGAUCCCUUCCCUAUAUAUAUUAAAUCACGAAGAUACCAAUUGCUAAAAAAAAGGUGUGUUUAUUGAAAUUAGAUAGAGCAAACUUACUUGAACAUGAUUGGCAGUGGAUGAAGUAGUACUAAGCAGUAAGCAGCUGCUGGUUGGUUUCGAGAGCAAGUAAUAUAUCUUCAGGGGAAUAUACACUCAAUAUAACUUACAUGCUGUUUUGGGAGGUGCUGAUUCAAUAAUGAAACACAGAUUUUCUUUUUCUUUGAAGACCAAUAAUGAAACACAGUAUAUAUAUAGACAUGUAUCUGUGUGCGCAGUUUGCAUUUCACAACUUAUCAUCAUAAAAUACAUCAGCUUGCAUACAUUUAUUCAGUAAUUGAUGGUGUUAUGCGUGUGGACCGAGCACAAAGUCGUCGAUCGUUCGCAUUUUAUAAUGUGUAUAUAUAGUUGGCAUUAAUUUAAUGUCUAAGCUUGUGCGUCAGCGCAAAGUCGUCGUACGUUCGCGUGCAAGCACACGGCUGUUGAUCACCGGACAGACCCGACUCAGACAGGCAACAUGCACCACCGGUUCAAAGUCAAAAACAAGUUCAGGACUCCUCUUUUAUUAAAACGUUUCUUUUCAUUCAUUCUUCUUCUUAAACGUAUUUACUGAUUUGCAUAUAUGCUAUGAUUUCAAUGUAUGUAAACGUGAUUUGAUUUCUGUUUUAAGAAAAUGAAGAUUUGUUGUUGGAAUGAAUGAAUGACUUGCUGGAAUAGAUAUUUGACACUUCAACUAAUACGAGAUGUAUUAAUAAUCACGCUAAAGAGAACGCGAAACUCCUGCAAAUUCUCGUGAUCAUGUAAGAACAGCCGUCUCUAUGAGAAAAUUAUUUCAAGCAUACCCUAGAACAAUAAAUCCUAGCCUUAUAUAGGAAAAGGUAAACAACUAACGAGGCCCUAUGCUAAUGAGCCUUAACGCUAAUUAAAAGACAUAAAAUAAAGAAUACUAAUUGGUGAAACGAUUAGGUCUUCUAAUCUCUCUGCGUUGACGUCUCUCAGCCAAACUUUGCUUAUUUACAAUAAUAAAAAUAAAUAAAUAAAUUUGAUUCAUAUAAAUAAAAAAAAUCAUAUAUUUUGAAGAAAAAAAAAACAAAUUAAAAAAACAAUUGAAUUGAAUAAGGAUGGUGCAUGAAUAGCACAAUAAGAUUUUUAAAUUAAAUUUGAAGACUUAAUUUUUAUUAACUGAAAGGUAUAUAUAUGAAACUCUAAUUUAAAAAAGAAACAAACGAUUCAUGAGUCAAAUAAAUAACUUAAUUAUAAAAUAAUCUAUGGAUCCAAAUAUUUAGAAAUAGAGAGUGAGAGACGAGAAAUGAGUGUAGAGAAUUAAUAGAGUUUAGCAAUAGGAUGGGUGCCGUAAGAAAAUAGGGUUUUAUUUAUUUUUUUAAAAUGGCGAGUUUUGUAUUUUUGUGAGCAAGUUGGGUAGGGUCAACUUUGAUAUUGGUUUUGUGUGAUAUAUUUUUGGGUUUUUAAUGUGUUAUGGUCAAAUACUGUACUUAUAGCAAUCUGCAUAUAUUAGAAAAUAGGGGUCUCUCAAUUGUAUUAUGUCGUAAUUUCAAUUUGAUGUCUUCAAUUCGAGGUGUAAAUUAAGAUAAUAUUUUAUUUAUUAUGUAUAUUCCAUUUCUAGAUAACUUUUAAUUGAUUCGUAAUAAGAAAUAAAUCACAUGGAAUGUCUAGACACUACAACAAAAUUCACCUAUUAGGACUUUCAUGAGAGUCCUAUUAUAUGGUAUAAUAGGACUUUCACUACUAUAGGACUUUCCUUAGGAGAGUCCUAUUUGCGUUAGUCACUAUAUGCGUAAUAGGACACUCAUUGUAAUAGGAUGCUCAAGAAAGUCCUAUUAGAGUAUGCUUGAAAACCCAUUUUUGUGACACUUAGGAGUGUCCUAAUAAUUAGUGUCCUGUUACAAUAUAUUUUUGUGACACUUAGGAGUGUCCUAAUAAUUAGUGUCCUGUUAUAAUAUAUAUUGUAUUGUUCUAAAAUUUGUAGUUUGACCUAGAUACAUGUAACAUUCUAAAAUUACAAAUUGCUACUAAUAAUACGUAUAUAAGAAGGAUUAAUUGUAACCAUAGAAAUAUUGCUAAAUUCAUUUAUAUUUUUCAACUGAACUCGUUCCAAAACAACAAACUUUAAGAUCUUAUGAAAUACAUCUGCUCCACCACUCUUGUAUGUCACCAAAGCUAUAACCAUGUUAAAACUUAAUAAAACUCACAAGAUUCUUGAGGAAAUAACCAUAACUAAAUUUCUUUCAUUCAUUUUGUCGUGGCAAAGACCAAAAAAGAGACAGCAAAAAAAGAGAACAGCAGCCAGCACGAUCAAUCUUCUUCAAUCAUCAUCGUCGUCGGUCACCUAAAAUGAAAAGAACAUCAGGAUUAUGAGUUCAAAUCAAAUCUAAUUUGAAUCUAUUGAUCUAAUGAGAAAUAAGAAUCAUGGUUUUUAAGAAUAGAAAAAGAAUUUAAGAAUAGAUGAUUACCAAGUGUCGAGGCCAUGCAAUGCAUGCUCCAAUUGCAUCUCCAAUUGUGGACAAGUUUGAAUAUGGCCUAAUCAAAUCUUCUUCCCAUUCUAUAGGAACUGAAACUUGAACUUCACACCAAUUUAAUCCUAGUCGUUUUCCUCCAACAUCGUGAUUGGGAUCUACACUUCGAACCCAACCUUUAGCCACAGCUUUUCUAGAAUUGAACAAACUCUUCAACUAUAUUUGUUCUUACAUUGUAUAUGUGGCUGCAGAUUUCAUGUUUGUGUUCAAACAAUGCAUGUAAAUCUAAAUCAAGUAGCAUUUUGUUACACACUUGAGUUUUUAAAUAGAAUUACAUGUUUUGGUAGUCCUAAUCUACUAUGAGGAUUAAUAAAAGGGAUUAAUCUCUUUUGCAUGUUGGUUUAUAGUUAAAGACACAUAUUUUUUACAUGAUCAAUUGUGUGUGGUUUUAUCAAAUAUUACUCAUAUCGAAAUCUGAAAAAUCUGAUAUAUGAAUACGAUGGUGAAUAUAUACUCAUAACUUUAUUUAUAAUGAAGGUUUGUAAAAUGUUCGAUGUAGGUAUUUUAAUGUAAAGAUUAUAUUUAUACUCAUAACGUUGUUUAUAGUGAGGUUUAUUCUUCACAUUAUUUUUUUGUAUUGAUGUUUAUAAUGAGAUUUUUUCACAUUUAUUUUUUGUAUUUUUUCUUUAUGUUUAAGUAUAUAUGAGCUGUUUUUUGUUAGGCCUCCCUUACCAAGCACAUCGGAUGAACUCAUGUAAGCCCCGCUUCACGUCUUCCAUCCAAUUACUAUACAUAAAUGAUGCUUAUAAUAAACAACAGAUGUCACUUUUAAUAACAAUAAUCAAUAUUUUUAUCAAUAAAAAAUGAAGUCAUACACACAAUCACAAAUCAUGAUAUAAAAUGAUUUCUUAACAACAAUUGAUACUUAAUUAUAUUAAAUGCAAAUGAUACUUGUAAAUGUUAUUUUUUAUAAAAGUAAGUGAUAUUUUAUUGAAAAUAAAUUAUACGUUACAUGACACUUUCAAUAACAAAAAAAAUUAUACUUUUUUGAAUAAAUCUGGGCUAGGCAGCACUGGUUGACUCGGACAACGCAAUACGAUCACCUGAUGAGAUAAAUUUUGUUUAUGUAUUAAUUAUUUCUACAUAUAAAAUUUUACAUAUUCAUAGACCGUGCAUCGCACGGGUAUAACACUAGUUUUGGUGGAAUCGGAUCGAGCGAAGUUGAAUAUUCUUCAAUUCAAGUUUAGUACAUUAUUAUUGAGUUGAGCUUUAAAUUUUGUUUAAGAAAUAAUUCGAGAUUCACAAACUUUAAUCAAGCUCAAAUAAACUUAGUGUGUACACAUUGGUACAAACUAAAUUGUGGGACAAAGGAUCUCAUCUGAUACUUUGUUGGAAUAUGCGAUAUUGGACCCCCACAGUAUCCCUUACUAUUUGGACAAAAUACGGCUCUUCUAACAUGUGAUGGAGCAGAAAUGGUCAAACUCAAAUUAGUUUACAUGGCUACAUGUGAUGGAGCAGAAAUGGUGAGUCGCUCUUCUAAUUCAAACCACCUGUAAUAUGCUACACACUGUUGGCGUGAUUGCGAGCAGAAGCAGCACUGCACCAACAAGUAGAGAAAUAAUAAGUCAAGGACUGCUUAAAUAAUUACGCCUCAACGUGGCCAUCCACCUAUUCCUUCUUUUCCUGCAAUGCUUUUCCACAUUCUCAAACAUCUUCGCAUAGAUGAAGCUUGCGCAGGGCACAGCCACCAAUUCACCCAGCUUGUUCACCAUCUUCGUCACGGCUUCGUCAUCGCCCAACCAGUUCUCCACGAUUCCGUUGCGCGACAGUAUCUCCAUAUCCUUGGAGGAAUCAACAAGGCAGUCCAGGAACGUGAUAUAAUCAGUCACGAAAUUGUCCUGAUGGGGGCUUCGCAACGUGGGCUAUGGCUACGUUGGAUGACAAUAUUUUGGGGUUAAAUAAGAAAUUUUGUUGCUCCAAAAAGUAAAAAAAGAAAUAAUAAUAAUAAUAAUAAUAAUAAUAAUAAUAAUAAUAAUAAUAAUAAUAAUAAUAAUAAUAAUAAUAAUAAUAAUAAUAAUAAUAAUAAUAAUAAUAAUAAUAAUAGUAAUAAUAGUUGUCUGAAUGUGAUAUUAAAUAUUAGGACAUGCCAAUAAAUUAGGUGAAAACUCUUUAUGGGAAUGUUCGGUUGUUCGAGAUUAAAUUAUUUCGAGAUUAUUUGAUAUUGAAUUGGUUUGAAAUUAUCUGAAAUUAUUUUUGUUACUAGAACAAGGUUCAUAAGCUAUGACUAAUUCUAGGUGCAUGUGUGAGAUUAAAUAUUGGGCCAUAUCUAUUGAAUCGAAUAAGAUAUUGUAUAACUAAUCUUAUCCAGUCCUACAAACCGAACACUCCUAUAUACUAUAUAUAUAAGAAAAAAAUAAUAAUAAAGUUGAACAUUCUCGCCGGAAAAUUCGCCAACAUAUUAGAAUUUAAAGUUCACGAGUCAUUAGAAAACAAGUCCAUUUAAUCCUGUCAUUGAUAACAAUUAUUACACGACAUAUAUCUAGUAUACUGAAUUUGUUUUAGUUAUUAUAUCUAGAGGCCUAUGAACUUUAUAGCUUUUUAUGCGACAAUUGAUAUUUUGUCUCGUUCUUUUAUUGUUUAGAAUUUCUCUCAAUUAAAUAUUUGUAUGGAAAAACUAAUAAUGCAGCAUAUAUAUUUGGGCAAAAAUAUUAAAUUUGUCCAUUAAUUGAACAUGUGAUUGGGAUCAUAAACAUGGGAUCCUCUGUCCCACAAUUUAGUUCGCUAUUAAAUGAACAUGUGAUUGGGAUCAUAAACAUGGGAUCCUUUGUCCCACAAUUUAGUUCGCUCUUGUAAUUCAAACCACCUGUAAUAUGGUAAACACUGUUUGCGUGAAUGUGAGCAGAAGCAGCACUGCACCAACAAUUAGAGACAUAAUAAGCCAAGGACUACUUAAAUAAUUACGCCUCAACGUGGCCAUCCACCUAUUCCUUCUUUUCCUACAAUGCUUUUCCACAUUCUCAAACAUCUCCGCAUAGAUGAAUCUUCUGCUGCGCACAGCCACCGAAUCAGCCAGCUUGUUCACCAUCUUCGCCACGGCUUCCUCAUCGCCCAUCCAGUUCUUCACGAUUCCGUCACGCGACAGUAUCUCCACAUCCUUGGAGGAAUCAAUAAGGCAGUUCAGCAAUAUGACAUAAUCCGUCACGAAAUUCUCCUGAUCCUGCCCAAAGUACUGCUCGUACGCGACGAGAUUCCGGAGGACCGACUCGGUCUUGUCCUCGACCUUCAGAGGCGCCAUGAUCAUCACCC
rnacentral:lncRNA from 1 species